GACGAACGCUGGCGGCGUGCUUAACACAUGCAAGUCGAGCGAUGAAGUUUCUUCGGAAAUGGAUUAGCGGCGAACGGGUGAGGAACACGUGAAGAAUCUGCCCUCCACUUUGGGAUAACACCGGGAAACCGGUGCUAAUACCGAAUAUUGAAACAUAAGUGGCACACCUGAGUUUUGAAAGAAUCUCGGUGGAGGAUGACUUCGCGGCCUAUCAGCUAGUUGGUGAGGUAAUGGCUAACCAAGGCAACGACGGGUAGCCGGCCUGGGGGGGCGACCGGCCACACUGGGACUGAGACACGGCUCAGACUCCUACGGGAGGCAGCAGUGGGGAAUAUUGGGCAAUGGAGGAAACUCUGACCCAGCGACGCCGCGUGCGGGAUGAAGGCCUUCGGGUUGUAAACCGCUUUCAGUAGGGAAGAAGCGAAAGUGACGGUACCUACAAAAGAAGCACCGGCUAACUAUGUGCCAGCAGCCGCCGUAA
rnacentral:rRNA from 1 species